GGCUCAGGACGAACGCUGGCGGCGUGCCUAAUACAUGCAAGUCGAACGAACUCUGGUAUUGAUUGGUGCUUGCAUCAUGAUUUACAUUUGAGUGAGUGGCGAACUGGUGAGUAACACGUGGGAAACCUGCCCAGAAGCGGGGGAUAACACCUGGAAACAGAUGCUAAUACCGCAUAACAACUUGGACCGCAUGGUCCGAGCUUGAAAGAUGGCUUCGGCUAUCACUUUUGGAUGGUCCCGCGGCGUAUUAGCUAGAUGGUGGGGUAACGGCUCACCAUGGCAAUGAUACGUAGCCGACCUGAGAGGGUAAUCGGCCACAUUGGGACUGAGACACGGCCCAAACUCCUACGGGAGGCAGCAGUAGGGAAUCUUCCACAAUGGACGAAAGUCUGAUGGAGCAACGCCGCGUGAGUGAAGAAGGGUUUCGGCUCGUAAAACUCUGUUGUUAAAGAAGAACAUAUCUGAGAGUAACUGUUCAGGUAUUGACGGUAUUUAACCAGAAAGCCACGGCUAACUACGUGCCAGCAGCCGCGGUAAUACGUAGGUGGCAAGCGUUGUCCGGAUUUAUUGGGCGUAAAGCGAGCGCAGGCGGUUUUUUAAGUCUGAUGUGAAAGCCUUCGGCUCAACCGAAGAAGUGCAUCGGAAACUGGGAAACUUGAGUGCAGAAGAGGACAGUGGAACUCCAUGUGUAGCGGUGAAAUGCGUAGAUAUAUGGAAGAACACCAGUGGCGAAGGCGGCUGUCUGGUCUGUAACUGACGCUGAGGCUCGAAAGUAUGGGUAGCAAACAGGAUUAGAUACCCUGGUAGUCCAUACCGUAAACGAUGAAUGCUAAGUGUUGGAGGGUUUCCGCCCUUCAGUGCUGCAGCUAACGCAUUAAGCAUUCCGCCUGGGGAGUACGGCCGCAAGGCUGAAACUCAAAGGAAUUGACGGGGGCCCGCACAAGCGGUGGAGCAUGUGGUUUAAUUCGAAGCUACGCGAAGAACCUUACCAGGUCUUGACAUACUAUGCAAAUCUAAGAGAUUAGACGUUCCCUUCGGGGACAUGGAUACAGGUGGUGCAUGGUUGUCGUCAGCUCGUGUCGUGAGAUGUUGGGUUAAGUCCCGCAACGAGCGCAACCCUUAUUAUCAGUUGCCAGCAUUAAGUUGGGCACUCUGGUGAGACUGCCGGUGACAAACCGGAGGAAGGUGGGGAUGACGUCAAAUCAUCAUGCCCCUUAUGACCUGGGCUACACACGUGCUACAAUGGAUGGUACAACGAGUUGCGAACUCGCGAGAGUAAGCUAAUCUCUUAAAGCCAUUCUCAGUUCGGAUUGUAGGCUGCAACUCGCCUACAUGAAGUCGGAAUCGCUAGUAAUCGCGGAUCAGCAUGCCGCGGUGAAUACGUUCCCGGGCCUUGUACACACCGCCCGUCACACCAUGAGAGUUUGUAACACCCAAAGUCGGUGGGGUAACCUUUUAGGAACCAGCCGCCUAAGGUGGGACAGAUGAUUAGGGUGAAGUCGUAACAA
rnacentral:rRNA from 1 species